rnacentral:rRNA from 3 species
UUUGGGCGCGUCUCCCUUCUCGGGAGACUCUCUCAACCCCACGAACCCUUGACCUCAAAUCGGGUGAGACUACCCGCUGAACUUAAGCAUAUCAAUAAGCGGAGGA